rnacentral:rRNA from 1 species
GAUGAACGCUGGCGGCGUGCCUAAUACAUGCAAGUCGAGCGAACGGACGAGAAGCUUGCUUCUCUGAUGUUAGCGGCGGACGGGUGAGUAACACGUGGAUAACCUACCUAUAAGACUGGGAUAACUUCGGGAAACCGGAGCUAAUACCGGAUAAUAUUUUGAACCGCAUGGUUCAAAAGUGAAAGACGGUCUUGCUGUCACUUAUAGAUGGAUCCGCGCUGCAUUAGCUAGUUGGUAAGGUAACGGCUUACCAAGGCAACGAUGCAUAGCCGACCUGAGAGGGUGAUCGGCCACACUGGAACUGAGACACGUUCCAGACUCCUACGGGAGGAAGCAGUAGGGACUCUUCCGCAAUGGGCGAAAGCCUGACGGAGCAACGCCGCGUGAGUGAUGAAGGUCUUCGGAUCGUAAAACUCUGUUAUUAGGGAAGAACAUAUGUGUAAGUAACUGUGAACAUCUUGACGGUACCUAAUCAGAAAGCCACGGCUAACUACGUG